AGUGAACGCUGGCGGCGUGCCUAAUACAUGCAAGUCGAACGGAAUUUAAAAGAGCUUGCUCUUUUAAAUUUAGUGGCGCACGGGUGAGUAAUAUAUAGCUAAUCUGCCCCUUGCUGGAGGACAACAGUUAGAAAUGACUGCUAAUACUCCAUAUUCCUUUUUACCAUAAGAUAAAUCGGGAAAGAAUUUCGGCAAGGGAUGAGACUAUAUCGUAUCAGCUAGUCGGUGGGGUAACGGCCUACCGAGGCUAUGACGCGUAACUGGUCUGAGAGGAUGAUCAGUCACAUUGGAACUGAGACACGGUCCAAACUCCUACGGGAGGCAGCAGUAGGGAGUAUUGCGCAAUGGGGGAAACCCUGACGCAGCAACGCCGCGUGGAGGAUGACACUUUUCGGAGCGUAAACUCCUUUUGUUGGGGAAGAAUAAUGACGGUACCUAACGAAUAAGCACCGGCUAA
rnacentral:rRNA from 1 species